rnacentral:rRNA from 1 species
CCUACGGGCCGCAGCAGUGGGGAAUAUUGCACAAUGGGCGCAAGCCUGAUGCAGCCAUGCCGCGUGUAUGAAGAAGGCCUUCGGGUUGUGAAGUACUUUCAGCGAGGAGGAAGGCGAUAAGGUUAAUAACCUUGUCGAUUGACGUUACUCGCAGAAGAAGCACCGGCUAACUCCGUGCCAGCAGCCGCGGUAAUACGGAGGGUGCAAGCGUUAAUCGGAAUUACUGGGCGUAAAGCGCACGCAGGCGGUCUGUCAAGUCGGAUGUGAAAUCCCCGGGCUCAACCUGGGAACUGCAUUCGAAACUGGCAGGCUAGAGUCUUGUAGAGGGGGGUAGAAUUCCAGGUGUAGCGGUGAAAUGCGUAGAGAUCUGGAGGAAUACCGGUGGCGAAGGCGGCCCCCUGGACAAAGACUGACGCUCAGGUGCGAAAGCGUGGGGAGCAAACAGGAUUAGAUACCCCAGUAGUC